CAGUCGCCGCGGUAAAACGUAGGGUGCAAGCGUUAAUCGGAAUUACUGGGCGUAAAGCGUGCGCAGGCGGUCCGCUAAGACAGAUGUGAAAUCCCCGGGCUUAACCUGGGAACUGCAUUUGUGACUGGCGGGCUAGAGUAUGGCAGAGGGGGGUAGAAUUCCACGUGUAGCAGUGAAAUGCGUAGAGACGUGGAGGAAUACCGAUGGCGAAGGCAGCCCCCUGGGCCAAUACUGACGCUCUUGCACGAAAGCGUGGGGAGCAAACAGGAUUAGAUACCCCGGUAGUCCCUGUCUCUUAUAC
rnacentral:rRNA from 1 species